AGGACGCCCAGCUAGUGUCUGCUGCUCAGUGUGUGGGGGAAACCACCCCACAUUUGGUCGCAUAAGUCUUUUUCUGCGUUCACGAUCGUCCGUGUUGGCGUGAGGGCAGAGGAAGGGCAUGCUUCUAGUGUUUUUCCUAAACAACAGCCAACUCAUAAAACAGGAGAAAAUAUUCGCAAAUCACAUGUAAGUGAUUAAUUUCCAGAAUAUAUAAAGAACUCCUAAAACGGACAUUCAGCCGGCCUUUUGGGGCGACGGACAUUCUGUUCUAGCACCAUGGCUCAAUUUGUCCGUAACCUGGCAGAGAAGGCCCCCGCACUUGUGAACGCUGCUGUGACUUAUUCGAAGCCUCGAUUGGCCACAUUUUGGUACUACGCCAAGGUUGAGCUGGCUCCUCCAACCCCUGCUGAGAUCCCUAGAGCUUUUCAGAGCCUGAAAAAAAUAGUCAAUAGUGCUCAAACUGGUAGCUACAAACAGCUUACAGUUAAGGAAGCCAUGCUGAAUGGUUUGGUGGCCACUGAGGUGUGGAUGUGGUUUUAUGUCAGAGAGAUCAUAGGCAAGCGUGGCAUCAUUGGCUACGAUGUUUGAAGACCAGUCUUUAACAUCUGAUUAUAUUUGACUUAUUUGAGUAUUCUUGGACCAUGUGUGAUCAGACUGCUAUCUGAAUAAAAUAUGUCAAAAAUCAAAAAAAAAAAAAAAAAA